UAAUACGUAGGGUGCAAGCGUUAAUCGGAAUUACUGGGCGUAAAGCGUGCGCAGGCGGUUAUGUAAGACAGGUGUGAAAUCCCCGGGCUUAACCUGGGAACUGCAUUUGUGACUGCAUAGCUAGAGUACGGUAGAGGGGGAUGGAAUUCCGCGUGUAGCAGUGAAAUGCGUAGAUAUGCGGAGGAACACCGAUGGCGAAGGCAAUCCCCUGGACCUGUACUGACGCUCAUGCACGAAAGCGUGGGGAGCAAACAGGAUUAGAUACCCUGGUAGUCCACGCCCUAAACGAUGUCAACUGGUUGUUGGGUCUUCACUGACUCAGUAACGAAGCUAACGCGUGAAGUUGACCGCCUGGGGAGUACGGCCGCAAGGUUG
rnacentral:rRNA from 1 species